UCGGACGUGGUGCAAGGCAGCACGACCUCUCUUCUUGAACAUGUCUUGGAGUUGGAGGAGGCAGACUCGGGUUCGAUUCCCGGCGUUCGAA